CGCCUUUCUUGUUUGCGUCUGGAAAUUCCGCCUCUUCGUGACCUUGUGAACUUGCCUUCCGCGUGACCCUCGACAAUUCCCUCUCUGACGGCUCCCCGAACACCCCUCCACAUCCUUGUGCUCAUUUGAACAGGCUAUUACCCAGGCAGGAAGUGACAUCAACGGGUCCAAACUAAAAAUAUGUCGCAGGACGGGCUGUCUAGGAUGUCCAGGACCGGUGUUUGUAAAGAAGGAUGCCUUGCACCGGCUCUACAGAGUGAUGCUCAUUGAAGGAUGCAGGAGAGAGCGCCACACAGGCGAGCCAGACAGACGCACUGGAGGCUGAGCUCUCUAUCAUACCUGUCUGCAGAGUGUGCUGCUGCAGCCGGCUACCCGUCCAAGUCUGAGACACUGAAAGUCUCCAUGCAGCCUACCUGGUCUGGUUGGAGCUUAUUGUCCCUAACUGCUCUGGCUAGUGUUGAACCAGCCGUCUGCACCAGUGCAGCCUGCACAGCAAGGCCGUGGAGCCAUUAGCGAGUCCCUCCGCUGAUAAUGAAGCCACAGAGGUGGUCUGAGCCAGUGUGGCACAGGAGCCGCAGCACAGGAGGAAGGUAGAUUAGGAUAAUUACCUGGCCACAGGGGAAUGAUGAUGAUGAUGUCUCUCUCUUCCUACGGCUCUUCAUUGAAGAAGAAGAAGAAGAAAAGGAUGAGGAAGAAUGUGCUUCAUAAUAAGGUGUCCUCCAUAUCUCCUGCACAUGUAUGCAUUUGUUGCUGCAGUUUAGGUCUCGCACACAUACAGUACAUAAGUCCCAGAUAUUCACACUCACUGAGACUUUGAAGAGCCUAUGAGGUCAGGUUUUAAAUUAUGGUCUGCACCCACACCAGGCUUUCUCUCCCCACUCCUGUAAAUCCAUUUUCCACACAAUGCAUUUCAAAUCAAAGCAGCGUCACCAUAACACGCCUUAGGAAACAUUAAGCCAUAGUGCAUCACUUUCAUGUAUGAUAGCAUAGCCCCUGUAUGCUUUGAUGUGCUCACUUUUUUUUUAAUGCUUUAUUAAUAAUAACACACAGGCUCCCUCUAACACCAAACAUCAGCUUCUGGAGCUCCUUUUUCUCUCCUCCUGAACUGCAUCCCUCACUCCUAUGCCAUGCCUCAGCCUCCUUCAUCCCUCCCCCGGCCCCUGAGCUGAGUGUCGGGAUUGGCCUGUUUGUGUUUGGUAAGGUGGUGGUGGUGUUGGUGAGGAGGAGGGGGGGGGAUUAGAGGGAAUGACACGGGGGCCUCCGAGAUGAAGAGAGCGACAAAGACCUAUCACAGGGCAGAGAGUCGGGAGCGCUGCCUCAUCAUUGGCUGCUGUGGAAAUCAGACACGUCUUCAUUUCUUCCAGCCAUACACUCCGAGUACCCAGCUUUCAUUUCCACGCCCGGGGAGGGAAGCAGAGUGAGGAAGAAGAGAGAAAAAGAAGGGGGGGGGGUCAGGAUUAGAGUUUCUGUUUGUGCAUUUAAGUGUGUGUGCAUGUGUGUUUACUUGCAUGUUGUGUGCAGAAAACAUCCUGCAAAAACAGAGGGAUGAGCGCAAAGACACUGAUAGCACUCACCUCCUGCAAAGCUGGACAAAACACAAAAUCCUGGAGCAGCCUGCAGAUUCAUCUUGUUGUUCCAGCUGAACUGCGUCCCUGUGAAAUGCCAGCCUGAUUCACAAACACACAAAACCUACUUAGGAUACGGAUUUCUCUCUGAUUCCACUCAUUAUUUCAGCUUUUUUACAGGAUAUUUUGUGUUAGUUUUACAGGCAUCCCAAAGCUCACAAUAGCUGCUCAGUAUUAGCUGAUUUUUUUCUUUCCACCGAUUUCAAAGCAAUGUCUGCAAUUUAGCACUUAGCAGCUCCCCACGAUCACAUCUGCUGAUUUAAUUUUCUGCUUUUUGUGUGGUGUUUGUGUUCCUUUUUGAUGUUUCUUUCCUCUUACUGUUAAAUAACAUCACUGAAUCUUGUUUUCUGUUGUUGCAUUAUUAUUUCAGCCCACAACUUCUGCAGAAGUUUCUCAGGUUUUUUUUUUAAUACAAUCUGUGGCUGUAUUCUGUAAUUUGUCACACAUACCAUAUUUGCAUGUAUAUGUUCUCAUACACAUUAUGCAAUGUUUUCCACACAGAUUUGGCAGUCUCCUGCAAAGUUUUCAUGCGACAAACAUGCCCGUCCAUCUUGCUGUUGCACCAGAUUGUUGUCAGUGUUUGCUUGCUUGUUAGGAUGCAGCCAGUUGACUCUGGCUGUCUGAGCCGUGAUAAGACUGGGAGCAGUGGUGACUCUGCUCUCCUCCUCCUCUUCCUCCUCCUUGCCCAUAAUAGAUCUGCGUGGCCUUGCGGGUCCUCUGGGGGCACCUGGCUCACCCUCCCUACCAUCCCUAGACCAGAUCGAUCGCACUAGGCCGUCCUGAUGCAGACACCAGGGGUCAGCUUCAAAGGCCUCCUGCCCACUUCCGGCCUCCCAGUGCUCCGUUUUCGGACAAAGGGUACAUUUCUGCUCCACCCCCUCCGCCCUCAGAUGCCCUUCUGCGAACAGGUUAAGGACAUGGUGCAGGUACAGCUCCUCCCUGUGAUCUUCAGCCUCUUCCUCCCUGUCUCGCCCACUCAGGGAGAGAGGGCAAGAGAUCAGCCCCACCUUUAAAAACACAAUCCCAGAUUCUGCUUUUGAUUCAUUCAUGACCUGAAGGUGCAUAUUGCUGACCAUGUUACCAGUUUCUGGCAGGCAUCAGGUCGAUUGGUGCCCUCCUAAAAAUAUUUGGUGCAAAACUGAGCAGCAUUGUUCUACUUUCUGAUACGAAAAUCAAUAACGUAAUAGUUUGAAAGAAAUGCAUGAAAGUAAGUGAACUUUUUGGCUUUUAGUGGGACAUGUUUUAUUAAUAACUGAUCAACAGAGCUGCUAUGGUAUGAAAGUCCCUCUCUCUCCCUUCCCCCGUUGGUCAAGUAACAAAUGGCAGGGCUAUCGAACACACAUUUUAUCUCCAUGAGGGCUGUCGGACAAUCGGCUCCAAGAAUACAUGUUAAUCAAUCGAGGAUUUUCUGAAUCCGUCUAUUAAGCCCAGCCAUUUUUCCUCCUCUCCAAUACAUUAGCAGAUCUCAGUAUGUCCACUCCUCUUGUGAACAGGGAUGAGAAGGAGCUGGAGGGAGAGGAAAUAAAGGUCUGACGAGUUUGGCAAAGAGACGAUGGAGGCUGAGACAGAUGGCAUGAAGUCUGCAGCACUCUGGCGUGGCUCGCCUGGUGCUAAAAUCCUCCUCUCUCACAUUCCAACAAAUCCUACCAGGAGGCUGGGGAGUCUGUCACACCACUCCAAGGAUCCACACGGCUUGCUUCAACCCCCCUACCCCCCCCCCUACCCCCCACAAACCUCCCUUCCACCCCACAUCUCCUCCUCAUCCACAGUCGCCCCAGCCCAAACAGAGCCCCUGACCACUCUGUUCAAUCCCUCUAUUUCAGCCACACAUAUGUGUGCAUCAAUAUUAGCGUGGAUAGAGGUGGGUCAUUUGGACCUUUACUCUACAGGGCCUUCAGAGAUAAGGAGCACCAGGGGGGAAAAUAUGAAGAAACGCCUGCUCUUAUAGGAAAAAGAGCCAGGGGGGCUUAAUUGAGAGAGGUGGCCUUUACUCUCACCCCAGUGUAAAAAAUGGUAUUCAGUAAACACUGCGCCGAAUCAUCAGGGAAAGACUGUACAAUCCAUUUAUAUCAGAGGAAGAAGACAUAAGAGGCUUUUUGAUUAGUUUCACCACAGCUCACAUCAGUCCACAGAAACACUAGAGCUCAAUCUCAAUCCACACACACACGCGCGCCUUUUUCUCACACUGCCCAUAUUUCACGGCUCCCUGCAGGCCUCACAAUCCAAAGUGGACAGUAAGUGUGACUGUGAUUACACACAUAGCACAAGACCCAACAACUGGAUCACGGGCUUCCCAUGACAUCUUCAUCUACAAAUGCAGUACUUUCAGAUAUCCUUUUGAAUUUCUGAUGCCUUUUUUUUACCAUCUGAAAACUGGUUCAUGUAAUAAGAACAGUCUAAUUUAUUUUACACUCUGCUCUCUCCCCACGUCUCUUUUUCUCGCUGUCUCUCUGCCUGCCUUCUGUUUGUUCUAAUGAAUGACUGCUGAGAUGAGGUGCUGCUGUGCGGGGGUCACAGGGGGUUUCAGAAUCACAUUACUGUUAAUGAUAAUAAAAAGAACAAUCUGCGCUAAGCCUC